rnacentral:rRNA from 1 species
AGCAGCCGCGGUAAUUCCAGCUCCAAUAGCGUAUAUUAAAGUUGUUGCAGUUAAAAAGCUCGUAGUUGAAUUUCGGGGUCGGUAGGCUGGUCGUGCCACUGGUAUGCACUGGUCUCACUGAUUCCUCCUUCCUGAUGAACCGUAAUGCCAUUAAUUUGGUGUUGCGGGGAAUCUGGACUGUUACUUUGAAAAAUUAGAGUGUUUAAAGCAGGCUAACGCUUGAAUACAUUAGCAUGGAAUAAUGAAAUAGGACGAUCGAUCCUAUUUUGUUGGUUUCUAGGAUUGACGUAAUGAUUAAUAGGGAUAGUUGGGGGCAUUAGUAUUCAAUUGUCAGAGGUGAAAUUCUUGGAUUUAUUGAAGACUAACUACUGCGAAAGCAUUUGCCAAGGAUGUUUUCAUUAAUCAAGAACGAAAGUUAGGGGAUCGAAGACGAUCAGAUACCGUCGUAGUCUU